CUUUAUCACUCACCUGUUUGAUACCUCUGUUGGAAAGGCUGGAACAGCUGGGAGGUUGACUGGACAUUCUCUCUCCAAAAGGCUUUUCAUUGUGGCUAGCUGGAGAUUCAGCACAGCUCAUGCUCUCACGGUAAUCAGACAUCCUAUACAGUGCUGGUUUUAAAGAAAUCAGAAGUUUCAAGGUCUCUUUCUUGAUAACUAG
rnacentral:lncRNA from 10 species